GACGAACGCUGGCGGCGUGCUUAAUACAUGCAAGUCGAGCGAGGUUACUGUUUCGGAUCCCUUCGGGGUGAAGAAGCUUUAACCUAGCGGCGGACGGGUGAGUAACGCGUGGGUAACCUACCCCAAAGUCCGGGAUAACAGCGGGAAACCGCUGCUAAUACCGGAUGCCUUUACCUUGGGGCAUCUUGAGGUAAAGAAGGUAACGCUUUGGGAUGGGCCCGCGUCCCAUUAGCUAGUUGGUGAGGUAACGGCUCACCAAGGCGACGAUGGGUAGCCGGCCUGAGAGGGUGGACGGCCACACUGGGACUGAGACACGGCCCAGACUCCUACGGGAGGCAGCAGUAGGGAAUAUUGCGCAAUGGACGGAAGUCUGACGCAGCGACGCCGCGUGAGCGAUGAAGGUCUUCGGAUCGUAAAGCUCUGUCCUUGGGGAAGAAGGUCUUCGGACUUGACGGUACCCAAGAAGAAAGCCCCGGCUAACUACGUGCCAGCAGCCGCGGUAAGGCUACGUAGA
rnacentral:rRNA from 1 species